AACAUGUGAAAAGGAACAGAAGGGCUUCUAACAUUAGAAAAAAUUCAAGGCCAAACAUUUUCCACUUUACUUCUGAUAGACUGUCUUGAAUUUCCUUAGAAAGUUCAAGGCCAGGCUUACCUCGUUCCCCAGCUGAAAAGUUCUGAAUUCAUGCAGUUGAAUCCUUCUUAACAGUCUGCUUUACGGGAACCUUUAUUACCGCGCAGUUCUGGUUCUGGAAUGAGGGAUC
rnacentral:lncRNA from 1 species